rnacentral:rRNA from 1 species
CUUAUAUAGGGGAGUGAAUUAAUUUAAGCCCCUCCCACAAAUACAGGCCAAACGGCCUUAAAACAUAUAUUUUUUUUUUUUAUUGGGGUAGCCCCCAAAAUAUUGGGACAUAUAAAAAAAGACAACUCUGUUCCGCAGAGUAGCUGUUGACAUUAUAGUUGCGCAGGCACUUUGUUGACUCUAGAGAACCUCAGGUCAAUCGCACAUCCCCGUGAUGGCGACUAUGCAUUUGGAUGUCAUCCAUAUGAACUUUCAAUGCCAGUUUCUGCGCCUACCAGGGUGACCAUAGGUAACGGGGAAUCAGGGUCCCAUUCCGUACAGGAACCCUGAGAAAUGGCUACCACAUACAAGGAAGGCAGCAGGCGCGCAAAUGACCCACUCCCGACGCGGGAAGGUAGUGACGACAAAUAACAAUACAGGACUCUUUAGAGGCCCUGUAAUUGUAAUGAGUCCACUUGAAAUCCUUUAACUCUGAUCAAUUUGAGGGAAGUCUGGUGCAGAGCCACUGACCUGUGCAGCAGCAACUCCACUAUCACCUGCUGCUGCUCACACAG